GAUGAAGAACGUAGCGAAAUGCGAUACUUGGUGUGAAUUGCAGAAUCCCGUGAACCAUCGAGUCUUUGAACGCAAGUUGCGCCCGAAGCCAUUAGGCCGAGGGCACGCCUGCCUGGGCGUCACACGUCGUUGCCCCCCCAUCUACUCCUUCGGGAUUGCGGGGGGCGGAUGAUGGCCUCUCGUGCGCCUCGUCGCGCGGUUGGCCUAAAUGCCAAGUCCUCGGCGACGCACGCCACGACAAUCGGUGGUUGCGAAACCUCGGUUGCCUGUCGUGUGCGGUCGUCGCGCAUCGAGGGCUCGAAAAAAUUGCCGGGCUUCGGCUCGACUUUCAACGCGACCCCAGGUCAGGCGGGGUUACCCGCUGAAUUUAAGCAUAUCAAUAAGCGGCGGA
rnacentral:misc_RNA from 1 species